GUCUCGGUAGUGUAAUGGAUCAACACGGCAGACCAGAUAAGCUCUAAGUGCGGGUUCGAGUCCCGCCUGAGGUU
rnacentral:tRNA from 1 species